UACGUAGGGUGCAAGCGUUAAUCGGAAUUACUGGGCGUAAAGCGUGCGCAGGCGGUUAUGUAAGACGGAUGUGAAAUGCCCGGGCUUAACCUGGGAACUGCAUUUGUGACUGCAUGGCUAGAGUUUGGCAGAGGGGGUAGAAUUCCACGUGUAGCAGUGAAAUGCGUAGAUAUGUGGAGGAACACCAGUAGCGAAGGCGACACUCUGGGCCGGAACUGACGCUGAGGAGCGAAAGCGUGGGGAGCAAACAGG
rnacentral:rRNA from 1 species